UCAACAAAUUGGUUUUAGAAAUGCUCCCCCAGCUAUGAUUCAUCAAGAACAAACCAAUAUUUUCCCUUAAAUUACAGGAACAUUACUCACAGAUGAAAUUGUUGCACGUACUGCAACACUCUUAACCAAGAUAAAAUCUUCAAUCGAUUUCUAAUCUCUCUAAUAACUCCACGCUUGACCUUCAUGCUAACUACAAUCUAUUUUGGAUGGCUGACAACUAUAUUUCAAAUACAGUCGCUCACCAUGGUCAUUAUGAAUUUUGCCAGUCCAUUGAACAGGAUCUCAACAUUUCAAAAUAUUAUGAAUACCAAUCCAGAAUCUUUCAUUGUGUAAAUUUGCUCACAUUCUCCGAUAACAUAUUAGGCAUAAUAAAUCAUUACCAGAACACCAAUAACAUUUUACCACUAUGUUAUCAUACAUGCUCGAUAACCAAUUCCACCUCAAACAAUCCAAAUGGCUGUUGGACGUACCAACGAUCCAGUACCUAAGCCAUAUCGUUAGCAAACAAGACUUCACGCCCAACCCCAAUAAACUCACUAACAUGUAAAGCUAAUAAACUCCUAAAUCUAUAACAUCUUGUGAAGCUUCCUGGGUUUACUAACAAUUCUUGUGUCCACAACUUCACAAGAAUUGCUGCACCAUUGGCACCACUCCCGGUUAAAAAAUGCCUUCAGUUGGACUAUAGAUGCAUCCAUAGCACUCGACGUAUCGAAAGCAUUCGUCUUGCACUACUUGAUUUUGCGAAACCAUUUACAUCCAUAUCAAUAUAACAACUAAUUAACCAAAGGUGCAUUCACAUCAUCCUCUGUGAAGUAAACCCUAAACCUAGAAACAAUAGCUUUCUUUUGGUGAAAUUACUGGCUUCUAAUUUAAUAUUGAGUAUAACCAAUAAUCAAGUCACUGAUUCCUUAUCGCUUCAAUAGUCAGAUGAGGCUAGCUAUAAAUGGGCAUCGAACCCCUGAGGUACAUAUGACCACUGUAUCGCUUCAAUAGCCAAAAAUCAGGACGUCAACAAUCUCCAAUCCACAAUUGCAAUAAAUGCUUCACACAUCAAGGCAUCUCCUGCUAAACACAAAAAAAUCACUUUGUACGAUGACAUCAUUCGCUAGAAGGGUCGAAUAAUGCUACUAGCCGACCCAAAAAUCAAACAAGAAAACCUCUACGACCAUCUUUAUUGAUAGUCAUGGUGCCAUCAGAAAAUGCUCGAAUGACUUAUACCACACCACUAUUGGCCAAGGAUGAAGUGCGAUGCAUAGGAGUCCGCCAAACCCUACAAGUGACGACAUAUCAACUGUUCAUGUCGAUUGGCUCACUGCAGCCACUUCUGAUAUCUACAACAGCUUGUGAGGAAUUAACCACGGACCUCAUCAUCCAUAUCCUGCUCUCUCCAACAGCAAAAUAACUAUCAUAGUCGUUGUCCACCGUCUAACAAAAUAUAUGCAUUUCUCAGCUCUUCCCUCACGCUUCGGCAUGAAGAUAGUAGCUAACCUGUUUAUACUGAAAUAUACAUGCAGAAUGGAGUGCCAAAUAUAAUUCUCUCAACACAACCGCAUCUUUAUGAGCAAUUUUUGGUAGCAAUCUUCAAUGCUCUUGGCACUAAGUUGUCCUAUAGCUUAGCAUACCAGCCAAAUAUAGAUGGAUAGACGGAAGAAUAAACCGUGGGCUUUAGCAAUAUCUACUAUGCUUCUUGAUGGAGACACCAGCUGUAUGGACUAAAUUUAUAACGAGGAUCAAAUACUCUUAUAAUACAACUUAUCAUACUUCCAUUUGUAUGACACCAUUUCAAACUCUAUAUGGCUGACUUCCCCAAGCUAUCUACCAUUCUGUAGGUGCAUAAUUGGUAGUUAAGAUCAUGUAUGAACUUUUGAAAUUGCGCAAUACAGCUUUACUGCACCUGUAAAAUAUAUCUAAUAUUCUCAAUAGUGCAUGAAACACCAGGUAGACAACAUCAGCGUGUGAAAUUCACAAUGGGAAAACAAAUUUUGGCCAAGCUACAACGAUACUAUCAAACUUCUGAUCGCCACAAGAUGUACACCAAAACACGCCUCGACUAGUAUGAGUCAAUACCAAAGCAUACUCGGUUAGUUGCAUGCAAUCUUCAAGAACCUACUCAAAAACAAAUUCACCCAUUUUUCAUGACUCCUUGCGCAAGAAUGUCACCAAAAUGAUCUCUUCCACAAAACAAGACUAGUUGAGAUUCGAAAAAAACCAUCCCAUAGUUAAGCUUGUGAUGAUCCUAAGCUCACGCCACACCUAUAAGUUAAGUAAUCUUAUAGUCUAACAGCUAGUCAAAUAGGAAGGCUUACACCAAGAAGAUGCAAUUUGGGCCCUUUACAAAGAGCUUCUCCCAUUUUUAAAUGAUCUCGACCUUAAGGGCAAGUACACAUUUACAGCAAAGGGAGAAAAUGAUCCAAACCGGACGAACACAAAAGAUAAACCACAGAGACAAAGACAACAAAGUCAAGUCAAGCAACAGAGAACUGAAACAAUGGAAAGUGUCGGAAACAUAGAUCUCUACCAUGUCACAAAGAGUUCCAUGAGUAGCAUGGAUCCAUUUUGGGUGGGAGAAAGAAUAUAUGAAGACGUCACUUUCUAAAUGGUAAGCUUUUACAAGCGCCUUCUUUUGGUUGUUUUGUAAGAGUGAGAAGAAUGAGUACAGGUAAUGUUUUUGGGGAGGUCGUUAGUGUUAUGGAAGUGGCUAAUGCAGAAUCAGGAAAGCACGUGUUCGGUUAAGCUGUGGCAAGACUGGCUACUUAUUCUUUACACGUGCCCACGUGCUCUGUUAUAACAAACUCUGUAUUUCAUAUUCCCUUUGAGCUGUAUAUAUACUACAGUAAUGUAGUAAAGCAAUUAGCUAAUGAAAUACAACUUCAGCUCAAUUCCUCUGCAUUUCCUUUCUACCGUUCUUCUUUACCUUUCUGUAUUCUUAGCAGGUUAUACUUUCUAACAGUUAGCAGGACAAAAACUGAUGCAGCGCCGCACGUGCUGCCAUGGUGCCAAGGGCCAUCAUACCCUUAAUUCCUUUUCCACUACUUAUUACUAUGUUAGUUUUAUUAGUACAUGUUUACCUUUUUACCUGAUUGGUUGUUUUUAGAAUCAGGUAGUUACAGCUACAGUAAGCAGCUUCUAGAAUUGGCUACAGGGUUUUAGAAACCUAUUUAGACGAAAGGCUGAAGGAGAGAAACAGUUUUUGAUCUUUUGCAAAUACUUGAUACUAUUCAAGAGAAAAAUAUACAGGCCUCUGAAGCCUUUCAUCUCCAUCUUCCCUGUUUCUUCGUUUUUGCUUGUCUUUCUGUGCUUGCAGGUCUUGGGUUACACCAAAAACAAUCCUCAUUAUUCUCUAUCUCGGAGAACUUUCAUAUUCUUCUUUUGCAUUUCAGGGAGUUAUGGGUGUUCUCAAAUCAUUUAUUACCUUUCUUCUCGCUGUAAUAUUUGUGCUUGGGUGUCCUAAAAUAUGUUCCUUGGCUGACAUUCUAAAUUACAAUACAAAAUCGCAGCAUAACAUCCAAAAUUAUCACUCCAAAAUGAGAGCACACAAAUAUAACACGAGAUUUUUUCAGUUUCAGCUGAAAUAAGACAAAAAACAGAGAGAAACAUAAAUAGAA